rnacentral:rRNA from 1 species
UACGGGGGGGGCAAGCGUUGUUCGGAAUUACUGGGCGUAAAGGGCUCGUAGGCGGCCAACUAAGUCAGACGUGAAAUCCCCAGGCUCAACCUGGGAACUGCGUCUGAUACUGGAUGGCUUGAAUCCGGGAGAGGGAUGCAGAAUUCCAGGUGUAGCGGUGAAAUGCGUAGAUAUCUGGAGGAAUACCGGUGGCGAAGGCGGUGCUCUGGGCCGGAACUGACGCUGAGGAGCGAAAGCGUGGGGAGCAAACAGG